rnacentral:rRNA from 1 species
AACGUAGGAGACAAACGUUAUCCGGAGUUACUGGGCGUAAAGGGCGUGUAGGUGGUAUCGUAAGUCUGGCGUGAAAUUUCUCGGCUUAACCGAGGCAGGUCGUCGGAUACUGCGAGGCUAGAGGACGGUAGAGGCGUGUGGAAUUCCGGGUGUAGUGGUGAAAUGCGUAGAGAUCCGGAGGAACACCAGUGGCGAAGGCGACACGCUGGGCCGUACCUGACACUGAGCGCGACAGCAUGGGAG